UAGGGAAUCUUCCACAAUGGGCGCAAGCCUGAUGGAGCAACACCGCGUGAGUGAAGAAGGGUUUCGGCUCGUAAAGCUCUGUUGUUAAAGAAGAACACGUAUGAGAGUAACUGUUCAUUCGAUGACGGUAUCUAACCAGCAAGUCACGGCUAACUACGUGCCGG
rnacentral:rRNA from 1 species